UACGAGGGGGGCAAGCGUUGUUCGGAAUUAUUGGGCGUAAAGGGCGCGUAGGCGGUCUGAUAAGUCUUGUGUGAAAUCUCUGGGCUCAACCCAGAGUCUGCAUAGGAAACUGUCGGGCUUGAGUAUGGGAGAGGUGCGUGGAAUUUCCGGUGUAGCGGUGAAAUGCGCAGAUAUCAGGAGGAACACCGAUGGCGAAGGCAGUGGGCUGGGCCGGCACUGACGCUGAGGAGCGAAAGCGUGGGGAGCGAACAGG
rnacentral:rRNA from 1 species